rnacentral:tRNA from 1 species
GCGCCGCGCUGACGGGGUUCGGCUUCGCGCUGAUCUUCCCGGCGCUCGGCGUCGAGGCCGUCGCGCUGGUGCCGGCCGCCAGCCGCGGCGCG